GGGGCAAGGAUAUGAUGGAAACGAUUGUCUUGUCCCCUGCGUCCGGCAAUUCUGAAGACAGCAUCAAAGAUGGGCCGUGAAGAGAAAGGACCCCGAGGGCGGCCCGACACGAGAGAGAAUCCGCUGGGACUAUUUGCGCGGCAGGGGCUUGAGCUGAGUGAGGCUGCAGAGGCGGGGCCCAAGCCGAAGGGCCGGACCCAAAUUAAGUCCCAGCCACUGGGCUGGAGGCGGGGCCAGUGUGGAGAUUGACAGGGGGCCGUCCUGGGAAAGCGCCCACGUGGCGCAGAAUUAGAGGCGGAGCCUACACGACCCUGUACCUUUGCUCCUAAGCAUGAAGAUGGGCUUCUGACCAAGUCCUGCUAGAGGACACUGAAAGGGCAAGCCUUGGGCUUUAACCAGGCAAUGUUCUCAUCCAUAUGAGCAAGGGCUUCAUGUUACUGGCCGUGGCCCUGUGCUGAGUCCUCCUCCCGCCCAUGGCCCUCUCCUCCUGGCCAGUGGUCCUCCGCCUGAACAUGGCCGACUUUGUCUUCAGUUUCCUCUGCCUCGGCAUUGGGCUCCUGAUUUCUCUUCAGCCUGACGCUCUUUUCAGUUAACGGCAAGGCGGUGCACCCAAGUCCGGUGGUGUCCUACCUGGUGACCUCCUACCUGUGCUGGGACGCCAGCGACUUGAUGCUGCACUCCGCCAUCUCCCAGGAGCCGUGUCCUACCUAAGCCCAGUGGGCAUGUGAAGCAGAGGGCAGCCCUUGAAUGCGCGGCGGCUGAGCUACCGCGGGUGGGCCGUGCAGCAGGGCGCAGCGAGGCGGACAUCCAAACAGCGGAACUCAGACGCUGACUCCGAGCGCACCCCGGGCCUUCCCAUUUCAUACACCCUCGAGGAUGAGACCCAAGCACCUCCAAGGAAUAGCACCCGAGGUCUUCAGGACACCGACCGGUAGCCAUGGCCAGAUGCCCGGCCAACCCCUUCAGCGUGGCCACGCCCUGGAUAUUCGACCUCCCCUGAGGCCCCACCCCCUGAUAUCAGGCCACGCCCUCCGAGGGGACCGGUGGCAAACUCCAGCCCUCGCUCUAGGGCCCGCCCUUUGCGGCUUUGUCCCUGCCCACUGGGUCCUCACAGUACCUCCACCCCAGAGGCCCAGCAUCCCCUCCCGUUCUGCAGACACUUGUCCAGCGUCCCGCUGAGCUCGGCAGUGUGGCUAGUUUGUGUGGCCCUGCCCCUGGUGCCCAGCCAGGGUGGUCUGCAUGGAACUUCUUUCCCGGAGUUCCGGCCUCAGCUCCGAUGUCCACCCUUGUCCCCAGGUGGACACAGCACCGCCCAGCAUUUGGUGCAACUCCACCCUUCUGCAGAACGGGCCCCUCCCUGGGAAGGCAUGGCUUGCAAUAACAUCCCUCUGUACCUUUUCUGGCUUCCCCGCCACAAUAAAACCUCUCAGCCUCAGACCUUCCAUUGCCCCCCACCUCCCCACCAGGGCAGGGUCCAUCCUAGUGUGAGUGAACUGUUCUGGCGUCCCUGACUUGCCCUUUGGGA
rnacentral:lncRNA from 10 species